rnacentral:rRNA from 1 species
AUUGAACGCUGGCGGCAGGCCUAACACAUGCAAGUCGAGCGGAUGAAGGUAGCUUGCUAUCUGAUUCAGCGGCGGGCGGGUGAGUAAUGCCUAGGAAUCUGCCUGGUAGUGGGGGACAACGUUUCAAAAGGAACGCUAAUACCGCAUACGUCCUACGGGAGAAAGUGGGGGAUCUUCGGACCUCACGCUAUCAGAUGAGCCUAGGUACGAUUAGCUAGUUGGUGAGGUAAAGGCUCACCAAGGCGACGAUCGUUAACUGGUCUGAGAGGAUGACCAGUCACACUGGAACUGAGACACGGUCCAGACUCCUACGGGAGGCAGCAGUGGGGAAUAUUGGACAAUGGGCGAAAGCCUGAUCCAGCCAUGCCGCGUGUGUGAAGAAGGUCUUCGGAUUGUAAAGCACCUUAAGUUGGGAGGAAGGGCAGUAAGUUAAUACCUUGCUGUUUUGACGUUACCAACAGAAUAAGCACCGGCUAACUUCGUGCCAGCAGCCGCCGUAAAAC